UACGUAGGGGGCAAGCGUUGUCCGGAAUCAUUGGGCGUAAAGAGCGUGUAGGCGGCCCGAUAAGUCCGCCGUGAAAGCCCAGGGCUCAACCCUGGGAUGCCGGUGGAUACUGUCGGGCUAGAGUUCGGAAGAGGCAAGUGGAAUUCCUGGUGUAGCGGUGAAAUGCGUAGAUAUCGGGAGGAACAUCUGUGGCGAAGGCGACACCCUGGACCAGCACUGACACUGAGGCACGAAAGCCAGGGGAGCAAACGGG
rnacentral:rRNA from 1 species